rnacentral:rRNA from 1 species
GAUGAACGCUGGCGGCGUGCCUAAUACAUGCCAGUCGAGCGAACAGAUGAGGAGCUUGCUCCUCUGACGUUAGCGGCGGACGGGUGAGUAAAACGUGGAUAACCUACCUAUAAGACUGGGAUAAAUUCGGGAAACCGGAGCUAAUACCGGAUAAAAUUUUGAAACGCAUGGGUCAAAAAUGAAAGAAGGUUUUUCUGUCACUUAUAGAUGGAUCCGCGCCGCAUUAGCUAGUUGGUAAGGUAACGGCUUACCAAGGCAACGAUGCGUAGCCGACCUGAGAGGGUGAUCGGCCACACUGGUACUGAGACACGGUCCAGACUCCUACGGGAGGCAGCAGUAGGGAAUCUUCCGCAAUGGGCGAAAGCCUGACGGAGCAACGCCGCGUGAGUGAUGAAGGUCUUCGGAUCGUAAAACUCUGUUAUUAGGGAAGAACAAAUGUGUAAGUAACUAUGCACGUCUUGACGGUACCUAAUCAGAAAGCCACGGCUAACUACGUG